GAACGGUUUCUGCAACCAGGGGAGUAAAAUGUGCUGCAGUGUGAGGGCGCACAGGUGUAGGUGUGGAAUUUUACAUAUAAAUAUUAUAGUUUACUUCAUGCACAAGAAAUGUAAACAUUUAAUCUAACCCACUUUUCAUCAACUACAUAACCUUUAUUGGAGAGUACAUUCAUAAAUUGUGUGUAUCACACACACAAACACACAUCCACUAAACUCUCUCGUUUUAUAUCUCUCCCUCUCUCUUGUGAAUGAUGGAAGUUUGGUGGACUGUGUGGUUUGUCUGGCUGAAAGUUGUGUUUUUUUUUUAUGUGUGGUGUGUUGUGAGGCUGAUUAUGAGUUAGUGCAAUUGUGUAUGGUGUUGUUAGUGUAGUUUAUGUGGUGUUAGUGGUUUUUCCUGGAUGCAGAGCAGGUCAGUAUGCCGUGGACUUUUACACCACCAUGUUAGGGAUGGAGUAAAGUAAUAAAGCUUGAGUGGAGAAGCUGCUGCAGGGGCUUCCUCAGCUGAGCUCUGAGGACAGAGCUGUCCUGGAUGCUAACUUUUCUUUGGAGGAGAUUAGUGCUGCUGCUGGUCAGCUGGCUCCUGCACAGGGUGGGCUGCCUGCAGACUUCUGUAAAAGACUGUUACUGGCAUCGAGCCAUCAUGUGGGGCUCUCUCUUCUCCCUAAAAAACAGAGAUUUGUCUCUGCUUAGAAAUGGAGACGUGGCUCUGUUAUGCACAGAUUACUAACUUCCUUCAAAAGUACUGGCCACCAGGCCGAAACACUUUGUGAAAUGAAUCGCUCACAGAGAUCAGUCGUACUGUGUACCACACAGCUCUAAUGUGAACAAGAGUUUUCUCAUGAGAGACUUGGUAGUUAUUUGUAAAUUGUACAGUUUGAUGUUGGAAUAAUUUCUUUAGAUUAAGAGAAAGUGUUUGAUAGGAUUGACAAUCUUUUUUGUUUUUCCAUUAUGAGAAGUUUUGCUUUUUGGAGGUGGAUUUUUGUCACUUUUGGGGCUGUUGUAUCAGGCGGCUUUCUGUUUUGUAAAAGUGGAUGAUGGGCUGAGCUGCCCAGUAUAAGUUUGGAGAGGAUCUAACUGGAAUGUCCUGUUUCUGGAAUAUAUAUUUAUAUUGGUAUAUUUGUUAGAAUUUUUAAUCUUUGUUGAAUGUUUUAAGAGAUAAAUAAGCAAAGUUAUCUAGAUUUAUGUUGCCAGGUUUAUGUCGGAGGCCUCUGCUGGUGUUGUCAUUGUUUUUCUGUUUUCAUUACAGAUCAGAGUGAUGUGGACUUUCUCAAAAGAUGUUUAGAUUUGUAUGAGAACCUUCAGCAAAGGUGAGCUGGUGAAAAAAUAUGGUGUAACAGGUUUGUUGGUGGUCAUAUAGAGACUUUUUUUUUUUUUUAGGAAAAGAAGAGUCUCGGAGGUUGCCAUGGAGACGGUCUGUGUCAGACUGUCUAAACCAAAAAUGGAUGCUGUACAUACACUGAUAAAUGUCAUUUCAGGAGUGGCCAGAUUGAAAUCCAGAGAAAACUAUGCUAGAGGUGAAAGGUCAAACAUUGGUCAUCAUGUUGAGAUUUUUUUUAAUACCACAGACUGACAAAGAAAACUGAAAUUUGUGAAUUUUAAAGGUGUGCAAGAUGUGCUGUGUUCAGUCGCAGGGCCUUGCCCUUUUAUUUCAUUUGUCUUUGGUUUCGAGUUUUUAUUUGUGCUCUUGUAAUUAUUUUGUGAUAAAACUUUUUCUAUUUUGAGAUCAAGAUUCAAGUGGAAAUCUUUGUGUGUCUGUCUCUCCCUUGGUUUCUGUAG
ensembl:lncRNA